GUGAAUCAUCGAAUCUUUGAACGCAUAUUGCGCUCUUUGGUAUUCCGAAGAGCAUGCUUGUUUGAGUAUCCGUAAACACCUCAAAACUCUUGAUCUUUUUCAAGCGUUUUGGACUUGAGCAAACCCAACGCCUUUUCUUUUAAGAUCUGUUGCGGCGGGUUGCUUGAAAUGCAGGUGCAGCUGGACAAUCUCCUGAGCUAAAAGCAUAUUUAUUUAGUCCCGUCAAACGGAUUAUUACUUUUUGCUGCAGCUAACAUAAAGGGAGUUUUGACCAUUAUGGCUGACUGAUGCAGGAUUUCACAGAGAAAAGGCCGGCAACGGUUUUGUCUCUGUCAAACUCGAUCUCAAAUCAAGUAAGACUACCCGCUGAACUUAAGCAUAUCAAUAAGCGGAGGA
rnacentral:rRNA from 1 species